rnacentral:rRNA from 1 species
AUUGAACGCUGGCGGCAUGCUUUACACAUGCAAGUCGAACGGCAGCGCGGGCUUCGGCCUGGCGGCGAGUGGCGAACGGGUGAGUAAUGCAUCGGAACGUGCCCAGCAGUGGGGGAUAGCCCGGCGAAAGCCGGAUUAAUACCGCAUACGACCUGAUGGUGAAAGCGGGGGACCGAAAGGCCUCGCGCUAUUGGAGCGGCCGAUGUCGGAUUAGCUAGUUGGUGGGGUAAAGGCUUACCAAGGCGACGAUCCGUAGCUGGUCUGAGAGGACGACCAGCCACACUGGGACUGAGACACGGCCCAGACUCCUACGGGAGGCAGCAGUGGGGAAUUUUGGACAAUGGGGGCAACCCUGAUCCAGCCAUGCCGCGUGCGGGAAGAAGGCCUUCGGGUUGUAAACCGCUUUUGUUCGGGAAGAAAUCCUCUGGGCUAAUACCCCGGGGGGAUGACGGUACCGGAAGAAUAAGCACCGGCUAACUACGUG